UAUGUGACCCACAAGCAGAAAGCAACUCAGUAGUGGGCUUCACUUCAAGGUGAUGUGACCUGGGGAAGCAGUGCACCUAGCUACUGCCAUCAGCCACAGCAUUUCUUUUGGAUGCUGGAGAAACUUGGAAUCUCAUCAGCAGGACUCUUCAUCCCUGCGGACGCUGUCGCCUGCUGAUGGCAUCAAUAACAGUGCCACAGUGAGAAAUUAGGUCCAGGUCCUGGAGAUGGACAGCUGGCUCUCUGUGGAAGAGCAACCUCAUCCAAGGCUCUUUGCAGUCACAGAAAGACUUUCACAGGUUUUAAUUACCUCUGGGUCCAGCCCUGAAGGUGCAGCCAAGAGUUCAGGAAUGAUGAUGAAGAUCAGUCUGUUUUCCCAAGUGCAAGUAAAUUGCUCUAAACUGACCCUUGCAAAAGUUCCUGCACUGAUGUUUUGGAAGAUGAGGAGAGAGCUCGUUCAUUAUGACUACC